CCCGCCCACCUGGUUCUCCGGUCCCCUCCGGAGUAGCUCCUCGAGCAGGUACUCAUUUCGUCCCGAGACCGGCCCUGACAGACAGAGGUCCCACCGGAGCGGCUCGUGCGGGCGAAACACGCAAUAAGGCGGCGGCCCCUUCACACAGCCCGCGAGCUCCUGCGGUGGAUGAGCGUGACAGGAGGACACACUAGCGCGGCGUUAUGUUGCCUCUGUUUGGUUCAGUUUAAACAAGCGAAGAGGGGUUUUCAGUUUAAACAAGCGAGGGCGGCAAAAAGAGGGGUUUUCUUAAACCUGCCGGACCUCAAUCUGAAGUCUCGAGUCGGAUCCUACAUCCGCGGGAGCCACCGGCACACAGCGCACGGGAGCAGCCCUCGAGAAGGUGUGUGAGGAUGGCGAGGGCGUCAGCAGGGAUGAAGGAGUGGGAGGCAGAGAGUGGGAGGACCAGCGUAACCCACGGCAACCCAGAGAGCGGCGACAGGAAGCUGGGACUGCUGGGGUCGCUGCGGGCGAGCCUGCGCAGGAAGGGCCAUCUGACCUCACUCAGUCACAGGUCGAAGGUCAAAUCUGCUUCUGACCUGGCCAACGCUAGCAACAGCCCCAGCAACAGCACACACACACACACACCUCUACCUUCACCAAGUUUGAGUUUGGGCUCCCCCCUCCGUGGCCUUAGUGGUUUCUUCCAGAAGAAAGAUGGAGAUUCAGGGGGAAGCCCUCUUAAAACACCCCAGUCCCACUCCAGAAAACACUCAGACACCUCCGUUGCCCUGGGCGACCGGCUCCUGAAGAAGGGAGCAUCUCUCCGCCGCAGUCUGGUCCUGGGGAGCAGACGACACGCCCCCGACAGCACAGCCAAUCAGGAGCCGCUGCCAUGUGCCACGGAGGCUGUCCAAUCAGAGCAGAGCACGGGCAGGUCAGAGGUCACCAAGAGAUCAGAGGUCAGGGAGUCGUACGUUCGCCCUGAGAUCCCACACCUGCCCCUCUCAGUGAUGCAGAUCAAUAUGCUGAUUGAGCUGGAGGUGUUUGAAGAGGCGCACGUCAACAUGCUGUCCCUGCGUCAGGAGUUCCAUCACCAGCAGGAGGCUCUGGGCCCGCAGGCCUCACCUGUGGAGCUGGCUCACCUGGAGAAAGACCUGCACCUGCUCUACAGGGCGCUGCGGGAAAAGAUGGCUGACAUCGUGCGCCAGUCCAGCGCCCUGCCUGCCCGCAACAAGGAGCUGCUGGUCCACGUGGCUCGCAUCGUCCAGGAGGAGGAGAGGAGGGAGGCGGAGGGGGAGGCGGGGGGGCUGGGGGGGUGGAGGGAGGCCUGGAGGGAGGCCGUGAGGGACGGCGUGAGGGACGUGCUGGAGGGGGUCCACCUGGACACACCUGAGCACAACACUUCCUGGUUGGCCGUGCACCUGGGGCUUCUGGGAAAAGCCAUCGUGGAGAACCUGGAGAGGGUGAAGGCGGAGCUCCAGGGCUCGUACCCGCCCAGUUUCUGCGUGUUUCACGCGUACGUCACGAGCUGUCACGAGGUCACUGAGCAACACCUGCAAAGGGUUAUGGGUAAAGUGA
ensembl:lncRNA